AAGAAAUACAGAAGCAUGUUUCCAAACACGUUUUCCCACUGCAUUUUGAAAAACUUCAGUGCCUUAAAUCCACCAAAAGACAACGAAACUCAAGCAACUGUGGGGGUUGUGUUCCAUGGGACUACUGCCAUCACAGAUCUCCCACAGAAUGAUGUUGUUGCUCAAACCUUAGUAGAAGCUCUGAGUAAUUCCACCAAUAGUCCUAACCUGAGCAUUAAUCCCUGCUUCAGUCAAAGUGUUGGAAAGUCCAGUUCCAGAUCCGAUUACGACUGAUGCACCAGCAACCACACCAGCUGCAGCAGCAACAAACACAGCAGCCCCGGAUUAUAAUUACGUUCUAGACAUUCAAUUGAUAGGAGAAGCUUUUUCCCCUGCCCUCACUAACACCAGCAGCAAGGAAUACAAAGCACUUGAAAAAAGAAUUUUAAAUGCGUGUGGUAACAUAUACAGAACAAAAUAUCCCAACACAUUUUCCCACUGCCUUUUGAAAGAAUUCCGUGCCUCAAAUGUAACACGAGUUACUGAAACUCGGGCGACUUUCAUAGCUGUGUUCCAUGGGAAUACUUCUCAGGCAGAACUCCCAAUGAAUUCUGUUGUUAUUAAAGACUUCGUACAAGCUGUCAAUAAUUCCAACAAUGCCUUCAACUUGAGCAUAAAUCCCA